GACGAACCGUGCGAACGUUGUUCGGAUUCACUGGGCUUAAAGGGCGCGUAGGCGGGCGGUCAAGUCGGGGGGUGAAAUCUUUCAGCUUAACUGGAAAAGUGCCUCCGAUACUGGCCGCCUCGAGGGAGGUAGGGGCAUGCGGAACUUCCGGUGGAGCGGUGAAAAUGCGUAGAUAUCGGAAAGGAACGCCGGUGGCGAAAGCGGCGUGCUGGACCUCUUCUGACGCUGAGGGCGCGAAAACCCAGGGGGGAGCGAAACGGGGAUUAUACCCUAGU
rnacentral:rRNA from 1 species